GCGGCCGCGUCGCACUUGGGGCCCCGAGACCCCGCGCCGUGCGAUGCGCGUGCGCCUUGCCGGUCCUCAGCGUCCUGCUCGGCCUACCCUGGGGCCUGUCGCCCCGCAGCGGUAAGGGCUGUGAGCCGGAGCCGCCGGUGCCGAGAGGCCCAGACCCAGCGCAGCGGGACCACGGGGAUGGGGAUGGGGGUGGGGGACAGGGAUGAGGGCUUUGGGGUACUCUAGACUCCAGUGCCCUCGGAAGUUAGUGACUUCUGAACCCAAGUUUCUACCUGUGGGAAUGGGAGUCCUCCUUAGUCACCGCUUGACCACAAAGGCAAACUGCCCAAGCGAACGCGAGUGGGUACCUAAAGAGCUGCCCGGGAAAUGACAGUGUUCCCCGCUCUGUCUUAAAAACAACAACAAAAAAACAAAAAACAACAACAACAACAAAAAACAAACGUCCGUUUUAGUUCCUUGUGGUUCUGUCGUGGAAGCUCGGUGGCCACUAACCUUGCUCGCACUGUGCAGGAAUGUACUUUCCUCCUGGCUUCAGGACGAGACCGUAGAAUGAAUGGAGUUGAGAUGAAUAGAAUAGAAUAGACCAGUUGAAAUGGUCUAUGUGUGUGGGCAUCCAGAGUUCGACAUAGUGCUUGGACUAUUAAUGUCCUCAGACACAUCUCACCUGAUUCCUGGAGAUUUUUCUGUUUUGUUUUGUUGUUAUUAAUGAUGCUAUCGUUGUUUUAAAGAUUAUAGGCUUGCUUACAGACAUUAUUAC
ensembl:sense_intronic Gm43017 predicted gene 43017